UUUUCUUGCUCAGGCCAUUAAAUCGCAGCUCAGAUACCAAAGAAAUUCCACAAUCCUUUGCGCAGCUGACAACGUCCAUCUCAGAAAGUCGUUAGGACGAAUCUAAAACAUGCUGAGUCAAUCUGUGUUGAUGUUUUCAUCUAUGGUCAUUAUCUCUGGGUAACCAAAAGAAGAAGAUGAUGGAGACAAGCAGCUGAAAUGAGUUUCCUCCACAGGGUUUCUGCGCUCUCCCUUAGGGAUAGGACAUGUCCCACUGGGAGAAGACCCAGAGGAAGACCUAAGACAUGAGGGACGAGGGAAGUCUGGACCUGUCUGCUUAAACUUCUGUCUUCACGACCCGACUUCAGAUUAGGCACAAGAUAAUGGAUGGAUGGAUAAAUUGAUUGAUGGCUUAGUUUGGCUUUUAUUUGAUGCUACACACCAUCAUCUACGUCAAUUUUCAUUCCCUUAUAUUUAUGUUGUUUGUAGGUAC